rnacentral:rRNA from 1 species
UACGAAGGGGGCUAGCGUUGCUCGGAAUCACUGGGCGUAAAGCGCACGUAGGCGGAUUGCUAAGUCAGGGGUGAAAUCCUGGAGCUCAACUCCAGAACUGCCUUUGAUACUGGCGAUCUUGAGUCCGGGAGAGGUGAGUGGAACUCCGAGUGUAGAGGUGAAAUUCGUAGAUAUUCGGAAGAACACCAGUGGCGAAGGCAGCUCUCUGGGACGGUACUGACGCUGAGACGCGAAAGCGUGGGGAGCGAACAGG